rnacentral:rRNA from 1 species
GAGUUUGAUCCUGGCUCCUAACGAACGCUGGCGGCAGGCUUAACACAUGCAAGUCGAGGGAGAAGCUUCUCUUCGGAGAGGUGGGAACCGGCGCACGGGUGAGUAACGCGUGGGAAUCUGUCCUGGAGUGGGGGAUAACCGCUGGAAACGGCGGCUAAUACCGCAUACGCCCUUAGGGGGAAAGAUUUAUCGCUCUGGGAUGAGCCCGCGUCCGAUUAGCUAGUUGGUGGGGUAACGGCCCACCAAGGCUCCGAUCGGUAGCUGGUCUGAGAGGAUGAUCAGCCACACUGGGACUGAGACACGGCCCAGACUCCUACGGGAGGCAGCAGUGGGGAAUAUUGGACAAUGGGCGCAAGCCUGAUCCAGCCAUGCCGCGUGAGUGAAGAAGGCCUUAGGGUUGUAAAGCUCUUUUCACCCGUGAAGAUUGAUGACGGUAGCGGGAGAAGAAGCCCCGGCUAACUCCGUGCCAGCAGCCGCGGUAAUACGGAGGGGGCGAGCGUUUGUUCGGAAUUACUGGGCGUAAAGGG